GCGCCGGUGGUGUAAUGGCGUAUAGCAUAUCUGCCCAGGAAGUGCGGGUUCGAUUCCCGCGCGGCGCU
rnacentral:tRNA from 1 species